GACGUAGGGCGCAAACGUGUCCGGAAUUAUUGGGCGUAAAGAGCUCGUAGGCGGUUUGUCGCGUCUGCCGUGAAAGUCCGGGGCUCAACUCCGGAUCUGCGGUGGGUACGGGCAGACUAGAGUGAUGUAGGGGAGACUGGAAUUCCUGGUGUAGCGGUGAAAUGCGCAGAUAUCAGGAGGAACACCGAUGGCGAAGGCAGGUCUCUGGGCAUUAACUGACGCUGAGGAGCGAAAGCAUGGGGAGCGAACAGG
rnacentral:rRNA from 1 species